ACUAUUUUGUUUAUGGAUCUAUACCGUGUUUUGUACAGGUCUGUCGGGCAUGGUUUAUCUGGUCUUGCCCUCAUUUUUAUUGCUCAUUUGUUGAACUUAACUUUUCUUGUUUAGGUCUGUUGUUUAAAAGUGCUGGAUUAAUUUAUGGUGUUCUUGUAUGUCUGGCAGGGCUUAUCUGGUUUUGUUUCCGUGUAUACAUGCAUCCAUGAUAAUGUGAAUUUUCAGUAAUACUUGUACAAAUUUAUACCCCUCUUGACCUUCAACACAAAUGCAAUCAUGAUCAGUUAAGCAGGCGAGACAUUUCAGCAAUAACACGAACUUAGC
rnacentral:lncRNA from 1 species